rnacentral:rRNA from 1 species
GACGAACGCUGUCGGCGUGCUUAACACAUGCAAGUCGAACGGAAAGGCCCUGCUUUUGUGGGGUGCUCGAGUGGCGAACGGGUGAGUAACACGUGAGUAACCUGCCCUUGACUUUGGGAUAACUUCAGGAAACUGGGGCUAAUACCGGAUAGGAGCUCCUGCUGCAUGGUGGGGGUUGGAAAGUUUCGGCGGUUGGGGAUGGACUCGCGGCUUAUCAGCUUGUUGGUGGGGUAGUGGCUUACCAAGGCUUUGACGGGUAGCCGGCCUGAGAGGGUGACCGGCCACAUUGGGACUGAGAUACGGCCCAGACUCCUACGGGAGGCAGCAGUGGGGAAUAUUGCACAAUGGGCGGAAGCCUGAUGCAGCAACGCCGCGUGCGGGAUGACGGCCUUCGGGUUGUAAACCGCCUUCGCCUGUGACGAAGCGUGAGUGACGGUAAUGGGUAAAGAAGCACCGGCUAACUACGUGCCAGCAGCCGCGGUGAUACGUAGGGUGCGAGCGUUGUCCGGAUUUAUUGGGCGUAAAGGGCUCGUAGGUGGUUGAUCGCGUCGGAAGUGUAAUCUUGGGGCUUAGCCCUGAGCGUGCUUUCGAUACGGGUUGACUUGAGGAAGGUAGGGGAGAAUGGAAUUCCUGGUGGAGCGGUGGAAUGCGCAGAUAUCAGGAGGAACACCAGUGGCGAAGGCGGUUCUCUGGGCCUUUCCUGACGCUGAGGAGCGAAAGCGUGGGGAGCGAACAGGCUUAGAUACCCUGGUAGUCCACGCUGUAAACGGUGGGUACUAGGUGUGGGGUCCAUUCCACGGGUUCCGUGCCGUAGCUAACGCUUUAAGUACCCCGCCUGGGGAGUACGGCCGCAAGGCUAAGACUCAAAGGAAUUGACGGGGCCCCGCACAAGCGGCGGAGCAUGCGGAUUAAUUCGAUGCAACGCGUAGAACCUUACCUGGGUUUGACAUGGAUCGGGAGUGCUCAGAGAUGGGUGUGCCUCUUUUGGGGUCGGUUCACAGGUGGUGCAUGGCUGUCGUCAGCUCGUGUCGUGAGAUGUUGGGUUAAGUCCCGCAACGAGCGCAACCCUUGUUCACUGUUGCCAGCACGUUAUGGUGGGGACUCAGUGGAGACCGCCGGGGUCAACUCGGAGGAAGGUGGGGAUGACGUCAAGUCAUCACGCCCCUUAUGUCCAGGGCUUCACGCAUGCUACAAUGGCUGGUACAGAGAGUGGCGAGCCUGUGAGGGUGAGCGAAUCUCGGAAAGCCGGUCUCAGUUCGGAUUGGGGUCUGCAACUCGACCUCAUGAAGUCGGAGUCGCUAGUAAUCGCAGAUCAGCAACGCUGCGGUGAAUACGUUCCCGGGGCU